GGACGAACGCUGGCGGCGUGCUUAACACAUGCAAGUCGAACGGUGAUGCUCCAGCUUGCUGGAGUGGAUCAGUGGCGAACGGGUGAGUAACACGUGAGCAACCUGCCCCAGACUCUGGAAUAAGCGCUGGAAACGGCGUCUAAUACUGGAUACGAAACUGGCCCGCCUGGGCAUGGUUUGGAAAGUUUUUCGGUUUGGGAUGGGCUCGCGGCCUAUCAGCUUGUUGGUGAGGUAAUGGCUCACCAAGGCGACGACGGGUAGCCGGCCUGAGAGGGCGACCGGCCACACUGGGACUGAGACACGGCCCAGACUCCUACGGGAGGCAGCAGUGGGGAAUAUUGCACAAUGGGCGAAAGCCUGAUGCAGCGACGCCGCGUGAGGGAUGACGGCCUUCGGGUUGUAAACCUCUUUCAGCAGGGAAGAAGCGAAAGUGACGGUACCUGCAGAAGAAGCACCGGCUAACUACGUG
rnacentral:rRNA from 1 species